rnacentral:rRNA from 1 species
UACGUAGGGUGCGAGCGUUGUCCGGAAUUAUUGGGCGUAAAGGGCUCGUAGGCGGUUUGUCGCGUCGGGAGUGAAAACCAGGUGCUUAACACCUGGCUUGCUUUCGAUACGGGCAGACUAGAGGUAUGCAGGGGAGAACGGAAUUCCUGGUGUAGCGGUGAAAUGCGCAGACAUCAGGAGGAACACCGGUGGCGAAGGCGGUUCUCUGGGCAUGAUCUGACGCUGAGGAGCGAAAGUGUGGGGAGCGAACAGG